rnacentral:rRNA from 1 species
GACGAACCGUCCUAACGUUGUUCGGAAUCACUGGGCUUAAAGGGCGCGUAGGCGGCCUUUCGAGUCGGGGGUGAAAUCCCACGGCCCAACCGUGGAAGUGCCUCCGAUACUGGAAGGCUCGAGGGGGGUAGGGGCAGGUGGAACUUCCGGUGGAGCGGUGAAAUGCGUUGAUAUCGGAAGGAACGCCGGUGGCGAAAGCGACCUGCUGGACCUCUUCUGACGCUGAGGCGCGAAAGCCAUGGGAGCGAACGGG